GGCUUAGUAGUGUAGUGGUAGCACACCCAUUCUCCCUAUUCGACGGCACAUUUGAUAAAUGGGAACCCCUUGUUUGAUUCAAGGCUAGGCCA